rnacentral:sRNA from 12 species
UGACCACAUCCGCUGAGGAAGUUAAGGCCAUACGGACAGCCGGGUCAAAUGCCGA